CCUACGGGAGGCAGCAGUAGGGAAUCUUCCGCAAUGGACGAAAGUCUGACGGAGCAACGCCGCGUGAGUGAUGAAGGCUUUCGGGUCGUAAAACUCUGUUGUUAGGGAAGAACAAGUACGAGAGUAACUGCUCGUACCUUGACGGUACCUAACCAGAAAGCCACGGCUAACUACGUGCCAGCAGCCGCGGUAAUACGUAGGUGGCAAGCGUUAUCCGGAAUUAUUGGGCGUAAAGCGCGCGCAGGCGGUUUCUUAAGUCUGAUGUGAAAGCCCACGGCUCAACCGUGGAGGGUCAUUGGAAACUGGGGAACUUGAGUGCAGAAGAGAAAAGCGGAAUUCCACGUGUAGCGGUGAAAUGCGUAGAGAUGUGGAGGAACACCAGUGGCGAAGGCGGCUUUUUGGUCUGUAACUGACGCUGAGGCGCGAAAGCGUGGGGAGCAAACAGGAUUAGAUACCCUGGUAGUCCACGCCGUAAACGAUGAGUGCUAAGUGUUAGAGGGUUUCCGCCCUUUAGUGCUGCAGCUAACGCAUAAGCACUCCGCCUGGGAGAUGACCCG
rnacentral:rRNA from 2 species